GGCGUGACCGACCGACCGGAAGUGGCCUGGGUCGGGGUGGGGUCAGGUGGGGCCGCUAGGCCGGGAGGGCGGAGGCCCUGAGCCCCAGCCUCCCGCCUCGGGGCCACAUCGGGAACCUUAUCAACAGCAUCGGCAGCUCCUCUGAUGGCCCCAGCCACAAUCUCUUCCACUUCCAGCUGCUUGAGUCACUUCUGCCACCUCUGGGUGUCAUGAAAGCAAGGACUACCUCUGCUUUUUCAGACAGUUGUCUCCUCCGACACCAUCACAGUGCCCGGCUCAUAAUGCUGCCGGGCACGUGACUGUUGCUAUGAGAAACUGAAGGAGUCCGGCCGCCAGCCUGUGCUGACUGGCUGCAGCCCCACACCGUCAAUGGCACCGUGGUUUGAGGAAAAGCUGCUGAUGACAGGGAUUUGGGCAGUGGCCAAAAAGAUGGAGAGAAGAGGGCAGAGCAUGGGCUGUUUUAAACACAGAGAUGAUGAGCAGGACCUGCUGGCAGACUGGAUGUGAGAAGUGGAAGGAGCGGAGGCAGUGAGGACAGCUGCCCCUGCCCUAAGGAAAAACCCGGGCUAGCCUGUUGGAGGAGAGCCACUGGGAUCAGUGGCCUCAGCUGACUUUAGACACCGAGAGAGAGCUCAGCGAGCAGUGGCUUGUACCUGACAAGAUGCAUGAGGGAACCUGGUUGAGACCAAAACAACUGCCCAGCUGAGCCCAGGCUGAACUGCCAACGUGCAGAAUUGUGAGCUAAAUAGGUAAAGGCUUUUGUUUUAAGUC